rnacentral:rRNA from 1 species
CGUAGGGUGCGAGCGUUAAUCGGAAUUACUGGGCGUAAAGCGUGCGCAGGCGGUUUUGUAAGACAGAUGUGAAAUCCCCGGGCUCAACCUGGGACCAGCAUUUGUGACUGCAAGGCUAGAGUACGGUAGAGGGGGAUGGAAUUCCGCGUGUAGCAGUGAAAUGCGUAGAUAUGCGGAGGAACACCGAUGGCGAAGGCAAUCCCCUGGACCUGUACUGACGCUCAUGCACGAAAGCGUGGGGAGCAAACAGGAUUAGAUACCCUGGUAGUCCACGCCCUAAACGAUGUCAACUGGUUGUUGGGUCUUUACUGACUCAGUAACGAAGCUAACGCGUGAAGUUGACCGCCUGGGGAGUACGGCCGCAAGGUUG